rnacentral:rRNA from 1 species
GAUGAACGCUGGCGGCGUGCCUAACACAUGCAAGUCGAACGGAGUCCAGCCUUAGAGACCUUCGGGUCAAAGAGGGGAAGACUGAGUGGCGGACGGGUGAGUAACACGUGGGCAACCUGGCUCAUAGAGGGGGAUAACAGAGAGAAAUUUCUGCUAAUACCGCAUAAGCACACACUGCCGCAUGGCAGAGUGUGAAAAGAGAAUCGCUAUGAGAUGGACCCGCGUCUGAUUAGCCAGUUGGCAGGGUAAGAGCCUACCAAAGCGACGAUCAGUAGCCGAUUUGAGAGGAUGAACGGCCACAUUGGGACUGAGACACGGCCCAAACUCCUACGGGAGGCAGCAGUGGGGGAUAUUGCACAAUGGGGGGAACCCUGAUGCAGCGACGCCGCGUGAGUGAAGAAGUAUUUCGGUAUGUAAAGCUCUAUCAGCAGGGAAGAUAAUGACAGUACCUGAAUAAGAAGCCCCGGCUAACUACGUG